rnacentral:rRNA from 1 species
GAUCAUGGCUCAGGAUGAACGCUAGCGACAGGCUUAACACAUGCAAGUCGAGGGGCAGCACGGUGUAGCGAUACACUGGUGGCGACCGGCGCACGGGUGAGUAACACGUGUGCAACCAACCCCGUACCGGGAGAUAACCCGCGGAAACGUGGACUAACAUCCCAUGAGACUCUAGAGCCGCAUGGCUCUAGAUUUAAAAUUCCGGUGGUACGGGACGGGCACGCGCGACAUUAGGUAGUUGGCGGGG